rnacentral:miRNA from 1 species
CGAGAAUUGCGUUUGGACAAUC